rnacentral:other from 2 species
CAGAGCCUGCCAUGUGCGUGAUGUCGUUUAGCAUUUGAGCCAACAGGCUGACUUAGGGGUCUACCGUAUGGGAACGACCCACCUGCGAAAGCAGGUUCAAAUCGUGGCGACACACGGCAUGGCGGGUGUCCA